UGUCAGAUCCUUCCCCUUCCAUCCGAACCUGAAAACGCUUGCUUGCUGGAAUUCCUGCUGCAUUCGAGCCACGAGCAUGUGCGAGCUCAGGUUAGCGACUCCAUUAAUGCUGUGACUGCAGCUGCUUUAUGAUUCUGGCAGAAAUAAGGACGCGGAUGAGUGUAUCACCGUAUGUGCCCCGGAUCAGAAACUGUCUU